UUGAGCCGAGUGCGGUGAAAGUCGCACGCUCGGUUCUCAGGGGGCGGGGUGACGGUAACGUCACCUCGCUACCCGAC
rnacentral:ncRNA from 1 species